GAGGGGGGACUCGGGCAUGGCGGGCUUCAGGUUCCGAGCCCUAGCCCCGCGGGGAGGCGGCUGAGGCCCAGCGAGAAUUCGAGCGCGGUGCGGGCGGGCCGGCGGUGCUGGGGGGACCCGGCGCACCCUCUGCAGCUGCUGGCCCGGGUGCUAAGCCCCUCACUGCCAGGAGCCUGCGGCGCCUGCUGGCUGCUUUGAGUGCGGGGCCCGCUGAGUCCGCGCACACCCGGAACUCGCGCUGGCCCGCGAGCGCCGCUCGCAGCCCCGGCUCCCGCCCGCGCCUCUCGCUCCACACCUCCCCGCAAGCAGAGGGAGCCGGCUUCCGCCUCGGCCAGCCCAGAGAGGGGCCGCCACAGCGCAGUGGUGGGCUGAAGGGCUCUUAGAGCGUGGCCAGAGUGGACACCAAGGCCGAGGAGGCGCCCAGAGUGAGCGAGGGCUGCUAGCACUUUGUCACCUCUCAAUUUGACGUUGGUCUUGAUCUGUCACCCAGCCUGGAGUGCAGUGGCACAAUCAUAGCUGCCUACAGCCUUGAAGUCCUGGGCUCAAGCAAUUCUUCCUCCUCAGCCUCCUGAAUAGCAGUGAUUACAGGCGCCCACAGAGUGGCCCAAAUGUGACGAUGGGCAGUGUGGCUCCCAUGAUCUUCAUCACUGCCCUGUACCACCUUCCCAGGCAAUCUCAGGAUGCUCGUCUUCAGUGGACUUGGAGGCCAAGCUUCUUCCCCCAGCUCAAGGUCCCUUCACAUGGCAGACCCAACCACAAGCAACCAAAUUACACAAAAGAAAAGUCCAGGGUGGUGUUCUGUAACUUGGACAGACAAGUUGAUUGGUCAGCAGGAAGAAAAUAGGGAACAAGUACAAGUGGCUUUUUUUUCCCCAUGGAUUUGUUACCCCAAUCAUUUAAGAUCUAAUGUCAAUUCCCCUUCACCUGAUCCAAGCCUCAUACUCCCAAUAAGAGUCUCAGAGCAAUGAGGAAGGAACCAAACAAGCAGUCUCUAAGCAAUGUCACUAAUGGGACUCAUGAGUAGUAAUCUUACGAGAAAGGCCAUCUGGGGCUAAAGAGCUGCACUACCCUUCAUUGAUUUCCUAGGAUGGCCAUCUGAAGUUUACAAUGUGCAUUACAUGCUUAGCUGUUUCCUGCUGUUCAUAUUUUUUUUUCUUCUCAGCUGCAGAAGAGGACAGUUUUUCAUCAUAAUGACUCUAAAUUUGUUUUUCAUGCAUCCCACGCUAGACAAAGAAGGGUUCGGUGGGACUAUCCCGGGCUGAUUAGAUCACCUCUAAGUUUGCCCUUUGGGAAUUUGACAUUUAUUUUAUUUAUGUGUGUGUGGUGGGAGGGGCGGGUGUUUUCCCAACAAAUGGGGCCAAUAGUAGGGCAGGUUCAAGGUGGCCAUGAUGAAAAGCAGGCUCUGGUGGAGAGGGCAGCCAUCUCCUCCCCAGAAGCACUCAGCUCAAAAGCCAUUUUCUGGGGUUUUUUUUGUUUUUUUUUCCAAAUCCAUAUUAAGGAAGCAGUUUCCUUACCAAAACAGAAGGCAACUUACCACAGAGAGGGAUAUCACAGUAGUCAAAAAGUUUUCUUGGAUUCAUUGUGUAGCACCAGGGACCAUUGAUGUCACCAUCAGGGUUACGGCAGUACUGAAAACAAGCAGGCAUGUAAGCUCCAGCUCACGUGGAGCAGGAGAGGGAGAAGAUAUUCUAAGGCACACAUGUUUCACAUCUAUUCUUAGAAGACAAAAGGGAGCGUUCCUUCUUCCUUUCUUUCUAUCAUUAUUAUAUUUUUUGACAAAGUUAUUUUUUUCUAUGCUGUAAGCCAUCAGUCAUAGUCAAAAGGAGUUAUGAGGCCACACCCUUUACCAGGGGGUGGUGACCCUGAAGGGUCUUUGGAGAAUGUGCCACUUCUCCAGGAGCUUGACCCACUGGAGGUCUUAGAGCUAGAGCCCCAGAGGACAGUGGGACAUCAUUGAUGAGCUUUGUCCCUGGGGGGCUGAGGGGUCUUCUACCUGAUAAAGCCUGUUUGCUGUUGAUUCAGAAAUGCUUACUUCCAUGCAUUAUGCACCAUCCACAGCCAAGACACACAAAGGCAGUAUCAUCCUUAGCUUCCUGUGAUAUUGUGAUAGAAUAAGAAAUGUAUAUUGGGUCUCUGCCCCCCAGUUCUUAAGACAGAGCUCCUAAAUCCCUUGGAGUUUCCUGGGUGAAGGGAGCUGCAAUGAAGCAACUCUUGGUGGGUUCCUGGAUAGCCCCAGGGGCUGGUUGCCAAGGGAACCAACCAUGUGACUUGAGGGUUGGAACUGUUCAGCCCCACCCUCCAACCUCCAGGGAGGGAAGAGGGGCCGAAGGUGAGCUGAUCACCGAUGGCCAAUGAUGUAAUCAACUGUGCCUCGGUAAUGAAGCCUCCAUAAAAACCCAACAAGACUGCACUUGGAGAGCUUCUGGGUUGCUGAACACUUAGGGUACUGGGGACUGGUGCACUGGAGAGGGCAUAGAGGCUCUGAGCCCCUUCCCACGUGCCUUGCCCUGUGCAUCUCUUCAACCUGGCUGUUCACCAGGAUCCUUUUUAAUAUCUUUUAUAAUAAAUGGGU